rnacentral:lncRNA from 1 species
GAGCACCAUGCAUGGAUCAUCACAGCGAAGACGUGCUUAGCUUGCGUAACCAGUAUGUAUCGUCGGAGUAGCUAGCCGAUGAAUUAGUAGCUGUAGUUCUUGACGAACAUGCCCUCCUUGGCCUCGGCGGCCUCGCCGUCGGAGGUGUACUUGCCGAGCUGCGCCAGCGAGUUGGCCUUGGCGCGCAGCAGCAGCGCGUCCUGCGCCGCCUUGACGUUCUCCGGCACGCCGCCCCACGUCUUGAGGCAGGUGUUCUGCAGCGCCCGCGCGUAGGAGAAGGACACGUGCCACGGGUUGGGCCCCUGGUUCAUGGCGUUGAGGUUCUGCGUCGCCUCCACCUCCGACUGCCCGCCGGAGAGGAACAUGAUGCCGGGGACGGAGGGCGGGAUGCGGCGGUGGAGGAGCUUCAGGGUGUACUCGGCGACCUGCUCCGGCGUGGCCCGGUCCUUAGCCUCGGCGCCCGGCGUCACCAUGGAUGGCUUGAGCAGGAUGCCCUCGAACAUGACGUUGUUCUCCGCCAUGGCGUAGAAGGUCUCGGCCCACACCUUCUGCGCCACCUCGAAGGUCCGCUCGAUGCCGUGCUCGCCGUCCAGCAGGAUCUCCGGCUCUACGAUCGGCACAAGUCCGUUGUCCUGCUCGGUCGAUUCCAUUCCAUCGGUGUUAGCUUUUAUUAAUUAGCUGGAUGAACUAUCUCCAUGGCUAGAAGCAAGCAAGAAGGCGUACCUGCGAGAUGGCGGCGUAGCGGGCGAGCCCCCAUGCGGCCUCCUUGACGGCGAGCUCGGAUGGCCCGUUGGGGAUGCUGACGACGGUGCGCCACUUGGCGAAUCGGGCGCCCUGCUGGUAGUAGGCGGCCUCGCGGGCGGCGAGGCCGUCGAGGCCCUGGCACCAGGACUCGUCGUUGGAGCCGGCGAGCGGGACGAGGCCCUUGUCGACCUUGAUCCCGGGCACGAUGCCCUGCUCGGUGAGGAUGUCGACGAUCCGGCGGCCGUCGACGGCGGACUGGUAGAGCGUCUCCUCGAAAAGGAUGGCGCCGGAGAUGUAGUUGCCCAGCCCCGGCGCGGUGACCAGCAGCGUCCUGUACGCCUGCCGGUUGGCCUCCGUGUUCUCCAGCCCGAUGGAUGCCAGCCGCUUCCCGCACGUCGCGUUCGACUCGUCCAUGGCCAGGAUGCCGCGCCCAGGCGACGCGAUCGUUUUCUGCAACUCACCAUGUCAUCAUUAUUUCUUUCAGCAAGCAAGAUGGCGAUAGUGACAGUUUCGAUCGGCCACUAGUGAAGAAACGACGAACGCACCGCUGUCUUGACGAGCUCAUCGGCGUAGGCGCUGGCGCGGACGACCACGGAGACGGUGACCGGCCGGGGCGCGGUGAGCUGCCUGGCGGCGCCCCAUUCCGACUUCUUGGGAAGGAAGGAGGACUUGAGCAGGGUAGCAGAGGCCAUCUUCUUCUUCCUCGAUGCUCUUGCUGUCUUCUGAAGUUCAGCUCAGCUCAGGCUGGCAGUGGCCUCAGGUUCACACCAGUGAACAACGAAUGGAGUGUCUCCUUCCUUGGGGUGAGAGCUGCAGCCACAUCACAUAUUUAAGGUUUCUGCCAGGUAAACCAGUGGUGGCUGGACAAGGGAAGGAAGGAUAAAAAGACAUGCGUUGUGAGGCUGAGGUUGCUGCCCUCUGGAUUUCAGUGGAUGGAGUGGCUGCUUCUCACUGGUUCCCAUGGUCUCUUCAAAAGAGUAGGACCAUGCACGGUUAUCACCUCCUUUUUGUUUUGUCCUGAUCCGGAUUCCUGAUUCUAGGGAAGAUCUUUUCUGUGAUUUCCAUCCCAUUUUAACUGUGUGCUGUAAAAAAAUGACAAAAAGUUCAGAGAAAAAGGGACAGCUCAACUCUGGAAUCUUCGUGGCAGCUCAACCAUGGGAUUGCCUGAAUGUUGCUGGCCUCAAAAUUUCAAUAAGGAUCCCAGUUUAUUAUAUAUAUAUCUAUAAAAAAAAAGGAUCCCGGCUUUGGGUGAUGAGGCUGACAGGGAGGUUUCUGUGGGCGCGCCAAACCAGCAACUGUUGCCCGUAGAUGCGCGCCUGCGGUGGACAUCCAUCCAUCGAUUCCCACGGUUUGUCAUCGUGGUUUUCGCAGAACGCCGCGGAUUUCUUGGGGGCUUCUGGUGAUGCCAACGGCUGCAGCUACGAGUUGUUUGUUGCCAUGCGCGGUGUGGAGAGCUCUGCAGGCAAGCAAUGGCGAUCCAGGGGCGUCCGGUCAUGUCGCGCUCCUGCAUAUCAUCUGUCACAACACAUGAGACAUUGAUCCACGUAUACGGAAAUGGACGAACUGUUCUAAUCUGUCGUCUACGGAAAUGGACGAACUGUUCCAAUCUUUCGUAUACGGAAAUGGACGAACUGUUCCAACCUGUCGUAUACGGGAAUAGACGAACUGUACCCAUCUUUCAUUGGUUGUAUUCAAGAAAUUACUGGAUGGAGAUACACAUGAUUCUUUCCUGGACAACCAGAGCAAAUACCUGACAAAUGAUUGUAACCAUCCCUGAUAUUGUAAUGUGAAAAACAGAGAUUUUGAGAAAUCAUCAAUAAGAAAUAGGUUUGUGAUGAGAACAUGUUUACAAAUGGAUUGGUAAUUCAAAUGGACAGAUCUAGAUGCCUACCUUAUAGGACAACGGCAGUGUACACUGGAAACAAAAAUCAGUAAUGGUACAAACCUGAGAAUUAUCAACAACAUUCAUGACAAGACAACAGGACUCCUAAGUAGCAUCAUAGCACCUAAAUUUUGUUACACUUGUACCAUAGUAUGCUCUUUCCACUAACUACUAGUACCACUGCAGAAAUUUAACAGCUUUUUGGUGGGCAUUGGUAAUAGAUCAACUGCUCAAUUGGCAUAUGGGAGCAUCUGGAAAGCAGAAUCCUCUGAUACCAAUUAGCUCUCAGCGGGCUUCAAAAGUUCACCAAGAUCCACAUGCAAGCUGUUCCUCAUGGUCCGCCUUCCUGCUCCACCAGCAUUGCCCUUUCUCAUCAUCGCCACAAACUCGCUAUAAUCAAUUUGUCCAUCCUGAAAAAUGAUGCAUAAUAAUGAGACAAUAGGACAAGUAUGGAGAAGGAUUCAAAGAACAAGAGGGGUUAAGAAGACCAACAUUGUUUUGAUCCACAUCUUUGAUCAUAUCCUCAAGAUGAACAUCAGAAAGACCAAACUGUUGGCAUGCUUGCGAGAGCUCAUCAAUUGUUAUGAAGCCACUCCCAUCCUUGUCAAAGAAUGCAAACGCUGACACCAAGCUUUCCUCCCUCUCCAGUUUAUUCAUGUGCAAUGUAGCUGCCAAGAACUCUCCAUAGUCAAUGGUUCCACUGUUGUCAAUAUCAGCCUGAUAUACAAGACAAACCCAGAUUACAAUCUCAACGGUCCAUACAAUCAAAGGCUGCUACAGUGCAUCUAUUUUAUGUGGACAAUAGACUCGACGCAAUAGUAGUACUUACUGCAUCCAUUAAAGCCUGGAUUUCAGGUUCCAUCAGAUCCGACCCCACCCUUUUCAGACCGUUCUUCAGUUCAUCAUAAGUUAUCGUCCCACUGUUGUCAGUAUCGAUCAUUUUGAACAACUCCUUUAAGCCCCCGAUCUCCUCCUCAGAUAGGCUUUCAGCAAUCACCUGCACGAACAAAAAGAUUCAUCUGAAAAGAUCAAUUUCCAUGGUCAUUGCACAUACCAUCACCUCUUAUUAAACAUUUGCAACCUUAUGCCAUGCCUGUUAUGCAAGAAACCAGUUAAUCUAGAGUUCAAGCAAACAAUAUUGUAAAACCCCAUAGUGAAAAACCGAGCAUUAGUUGUUUUAGAAUUGUGUCAGACACUUAAGCCAAAACAAAGAACCUCUUCUCUUCCAACAAAAAGAAUCUGUUUUGAAACUCCUGGUCCCUUCAUUCCUUGCAUCAGAUGACCACUGACCAUACUGCCCAUGAAACCUCCUUUCCCAAAAUCAAAUGCUUCCUAAUGCCCUUAUCUGAGAACACUUGGUCAAAUCCGGUGUGCCAUUGCUGCUACCAAUGCAACACAGCCCCAGAUCUUAGCAUUUACUGCUUCCUGUCACUAAUAUUGAAAUUGUCCUCCCGAAUCAACAAACAAACAAGGACAACAAGAGGUGAACAUGACCAAGGCAUUGUUGAACUAAGAGGGUGAUGGUAGCGUAGUCACCAAGGUGGGUCAAUGGGUGGAACUAGACAUGAGAUGUUGGCAGUGCAAACCCCACUCAAUCAAGCAAUAGAAGUGCACAGUUGUAAUGUGUAAAACAAUGAGGUCCAGUCGCUAACCAGUUUGCAGCUCACCACCAUACAGAUGCUCACCACCUACAGUCACUCACCUUUCUGACAUCUUACCGUUGCUACCAUUAGUGGCCUCCUGCUGCUAGUGUCAAGCAGUCUUUAGCCAUGGGUUCAAUGGCUUUUGUGGUCGGUAGUCAUAGAAUACCAUGGCUGGCAUCCAGGUCUCGCACUAGUGCAGCUGAAGGGAUUGGAGACAACAGGGUUGGAUCUGGGAGGACUGUUCUUUUGGAAAGAAACAGGUUCUGUGAAUUGUAUGAAAGGUGACAUGUAGGCCAGCUUUUUUGUUUAUUGGGACUGUGUGAGUGUGUGACAUCGAUGGUUGGUGUGGCAGAACUGCCAUUAAAAAGAACAGGUGGCUAAAUGACUGGUUUCAAAAGCUUUGGUUUUUAAGCAGAUGUGUGUAAAUUGGGCUUUCUAAAAAUUAAAGGGGACAAAUACAGAUUUAAAGUGCACAAAAAAUCCAGUUAACAUGGAAAACCAGGAGAAAGAGAAAGGAAAAGAUUCAUAUGAAGUUAACUUGAGUGCACAACACAGUAGGCAGUAAGGCAGUGUCAUAAUAGAAAUGACGCACUGACCGUAACAUUGCGGUACUGAAUUUCGUUUGCAACAUAAUCACACAUCAAUGGGAUAAAAGUUCUUAUUUGAGAAAAAUGAAGUUCUUCUUACCCUCAAUGCCAUCUUCUUAAGCUUGUUCAUUGCAGAAAAGUUUUUCAGCCUUGACAAAACAGCAGAAUCAAUAGGCUUAUCAGGUGCGACAGCAUCAUCAACAAUCCAUGGAUGACCUGGCAUAGUCAAUGUCACCAUGUUUAAUAAGAACGAACUUCCAUGACCCAGGAGCACAAGCAUGCAUACAGAAUCUCAGACAGAGAGAGGGAGGGCAUGUAGGCAGAAAACUUACAUAGAACCUCAUGAGCAGUCAAUCUCUUCGUAGGAUCCCGGAUAAGCAUCUUACGGACUAGAUCUUUAGCACUAUCAGAGAUACUUGGCCAUGGUUCAGAUUCCAAGUCAAGUUUGCCUCGCAAAAUCUGCCUGAAGAUUCCAGCUUCACUUUCUGAAAGGAGGGGGAAACAGGAAGAUUUUACAUAUGGAAACAUGCUAAUAUCAGUAAACGACAAUCAAUCUCAACGUAGAAAUUCAAUGGUUGGAAUAACAAACAAUUUACCUGCCCAGAAUGGGGGUACACCACAUAGCAAAAUAUACAGAAUAACUCCAGCACUCCAGACAUCAGCUUCUGGGCCAUAGCAUUUCUGGAGCACCUCAGGGGCAACAUAAUAGGGGCUACCAACAACGUCAGCAAAUUUGUCACCUGGAGAUAUAGCAAGGAAUAUCUUUCAGUGUGUGUUCUGUUAAUCACUUCAAGCAAAACAGAAUAAACCACAGCAUUAACUGAAGACUUCAUUAAACACUACUUUAACCACAACACCACAUUUGUCACAAAAUCUGUUACAGUUCUACGAGAGAAGACAGUUCUUGCCAUCAACCUUGAAAGGCUUAUUGGCCUAUUGCUAUUGACAAGUAUUCUAGUUGCAACGCAGAUUUAUUUGUCCCCAGUACUAAUAUAUACUAGUUCUCAUGUUAGCAACAUUUUGACAGGGAUUCUUUAUAUUCUAACAAAAUGAGCCACAUAUGGAAAUGAAAUGUUAACAUGCUUGCUGGUGUAUCAAAACUAUCUAUGAAGAGCAGUACUCCCUACCAAACCCAAUGCUAGCAGUUAGCGCGCAUACCAUUGCCGCAUCAAGUGAACCAAAUAGCAACAUUGUACAGCACAAAUAUUAAACGUCAGCACAAACAAUUGCACAGAUACGCACCGGGCUUGUAGAACACCGAUAGCCCAAAAUCAGUGGCCUUGAGCGGGGCAUCCUCUGCAGUGCUCGCGAAGAGGAAGUUCUCCGGCUUGAGGUCCCGGUGCAUGACGCCGAGCGAGUGGCAUCCCUCCACCACCCCGACGAUCGUCCUGAUGAGCUGCGCGGCGGCGCGCUCGCUGUAGUGUCCCUUGGCGACGAUGCGGUCGAAGAGCUCGCCGCCG